UAUAACAUGCAUGACCAAUAAGGAAAUAUUUUAUAUUUGUUGAGAGAGAGAGGAACAACGGAACAACAUGCAGUCGAAACCGUUUAGAGAGACAACAAAACUGUUUAGAGAGAGAGAAAUAACGAGUGCAAAACUGGCUGUCAAAACCGUUUUUCUUUCUUCAAGGACGGAAAGAAAUCGAUUGAAGAUACGCAUUGCU
rnacentral:lncRNA from 1 species